rnacentral:lncRNA from 1 species
GUAGACACCUAGCCCACUAAGUUCCACUAAUUGUUAGUGGAACAUUAGGUGUUGAGAUUUGACAAAUUAAUUACAGCAUUUUUGCAUGUAAUUAGGUUAUAAAUAGGGGUGUUUUCAAAUGGUUGAAAACUUUUGCCUUUUUUAAUAUACUCCAAAAUGUCAACCAAGAAAAAAAAUACUUCUACCUUCCAAUUUCCUUUUAUCUCCAUUACUUUCUACAUCAAAUUGGGUCCCACAACCCAGUUCUUUGUCCAGAGGAUAGUAGUUGAGCAUUAGUGGUGAUCUCGGUUUGAAUUGAUAAGGAGGUAUCAAAGUUUUUUGAAAGCUUCAAAGGUAAUAUUUUCUAAAGCCCUAAUUUGAUUAGUUUAGGGUUACUUGUUAAUUGUGCCAUUUAGGGUAGAAAUUUGAUUCUUUUUCCGCUGUGCAUGUCUUAGUUCUAUCAUGUGGUAUCAGAGCAUGCUUCAAUUUUACCCAAUUGCAUGUGAUGGGUUCAUAUUUAUUAGAUAAAUUUUGGUUGGAACUAAAAUGAAUAUAUUAUGAUUUUGGCCCUAUAUUAAGUGUUUUUGUUCUAAUUAUUGUAAUUAGUCUUGUUAAUGGCUUAUUUUUAUUGUUGAAAAGUGUUUGUAAUUUUUUUUUUAAAAAAUAGUCAUUAGAGUUGAAGUUAGGCUGUAAUUGGUUCAACCGGGUGAGGGAAUUGAAAAAAAAUGAAGAAAAGAAUGUCACAGACCCGAAAACCCGGUCAUGACCCGCCUCGCGACCCGCCAGCAACCUGCACCCGCGCACCUGCUUGCGCCCAACCCGUGAGCGUCUGGGCUUGUUGGUUAAUUGGGCCGGUUCAAGCCCAAUAAAUUUGGUUUUUGAGCCAGUUCAAGCUGUUUCUGUUGGUUUUUCAGCCAGUUCGAAGUUUUUUGGGAGUGGUUUUGUACUACACCAAAUUAAUUAUGUAAUAAUUUAGUACUUAGCUUAAUUUAGGAGCCAAAAAUCAGUCCAUUUUAGGGUGUUUUUUUUUAAUUUAUGCAUGUGAUCUAUGAUUUAAUUACUUUAAAUUUGUAUGUGCAUUUUGAAUGUCAUAUAGAUUUAAAAUCCCACCAUAGGUCAUGUUCAUGCAUUAAAA